UAAGCCCGGGGCCUCCCCCGGUAACCGGGAGGACGCGCCUCCUCGCCGCGGGAACCGGGGGGAGCAGCUUUCACUCGUUUAUUUCUAUACAAGCGUCUUCGGUCGUGACCCAGUUCUCCCAAGCGGGCUAGCGGGCUAGCUUCCACGCUAGCUUCUGUGGAGGCUGAUUAGCGAGCUAACGACGCUAAGCUAAUUAGCCUCCCGCUGCCUCACGCGCAGGUAUCGUGGAUGAGGUGGUCCGCGCGAGGACAACGCGCCAUGUUUACGGCUGUUCAAUCGCUUUUCUUUUAUUUACCACAAGGAGUCAGUUUUCUCCUCAUAAUGCUGGUGGCGGGGCCGAGGAUGUCGCUGUGAAGAUGGAGGCUCCUGAGUACCUGGACCUGGACGAGAUCGACUUCUCUGACGACUCAGCGUACUCUGUGACGUCUCUGAAGAGCAUCCCGG